AGGGCACAGCAAGAAGGUGGCUACAAGUCAGGAAGCAUUCUCACCAGAAAGCUAUGAGGCUUUGAAAAACUGGCUCAGAACACUCAGAAGAAUGCAGAAAUAAGAAUAAGACUUUGUUUUACCAACGUACCUCAGUGGACCACCUUCCAAAGUCAAUUAAAUCAUGGCAUAUUGCCUGAGAAGUGCAUCUCAUGAGCUGCUUAUGCCCAGGUACCUUUUCUUCAUUUCUGGAAUAAAUCUCAAAUUAAGAGUGUUACUAUUACUCAGUCUGCAUUUCUAGUUGGCUCUCAUUCCCAUACCUGUAAUGCUCAACCUACGUGUUUCUUCCUUUUCAAAUAUCACUCAUCUGUCAUGACUCCCCUAAAAGCUCCCUCCUUUUAAAAGACCUCUAUCCCAUUCUCUUCAGAAAGUGGAAUUUCCUUCCGAGCCACCAUGUCACUUUGUACGUCCACUGUUCAUUCAUCAUAAUCUUGACUAUAUCACAAUUGGCUUUAUAUUUAACCAUUACUACUCCUCAAAUUGUAUCUCUUA